UACGGAGGAUGCGAGCGUUAUCCGGAUUUAUUGGGUUUAAAGGGUGCGCAGGCGGCACGGCAAGCCAGCGGUCAAAUCGCGGGGCUCAACCCCGCCCAGCCGUCGGAACUGCCGGGCUAGAGUGGGCGAGAAGUGCGCGGAAUGCGUGGUGUAGCGGUGAAAUGCAUAGAUAUCACGCAGAACUCCGAUUGCGAAGGCAGCGCACCGGCGCCCUACUGACGCUCAGGCACGAAAGCGUGGGUAUCGAACAGG
rnacentral:rRNA from 1 species